UCCAGACUCCUACGGGAGGCAGCAGUGGGGGAUAUUGCACAAUGGGGGGAACCCUGAUGCAGCGACGCCGCGUGGGUGAAGGAGCGUUUCGGCGCGUAAAGCCCUAUCGGCAGGGAAGAAGGAGGACGGUACCUGACUAAGAAGCCCCGGCUAACUACGUGCCAGCAGCCGCGGUAAUACGUAGGGGGCAAGCGUUAUCCGGAUUUACUGGGUGUAAAGGGGGCGCAGACGGCAGCGCAAGCCAGGAGUGAAAGCCCGGGGCCCACCCCCGGGACUGCUCUUGGAACUGCGCGGCUGGAGUGCAGGAGGGGCAGGCGGAAUUCCUGGUGUAGCGGUGAAAUGCGUAGAUAUUAGGAGGAACACCAGUGGCGAAGGCGGCCUGCUGGACGAUGACUGACGUUGAGGCUCGAAAGCGUGGGGAGCAAACAGGAUUAGAUACCCCAGUAA
rnacentral:rRNA from 1 species